rnacentral:rRNA from 1 species
AUUGAACGCUGGCGGCAGGCCUAACACAUGCAAGUCGGACGGUAGCACAGGGGAGCUUGCUCCUCGGAUGACGAGUGGCGGACGGGUGAGUAAUGUCUGGGGAUCUGCCCGAUAGAGGGGGAUAACCACUGGAAACGGUGGCUAAUACCGCAUAACGUCGCAAGACCAAAGAGGGGGACCUUCGGGCCUCUCACUAUCGGAUGAACCCAGAUGGGAUUAGCUAGUAGGCGGGGUAACGGCCCACCUAGACGACGAUCCCUAGCUGGUCUGAGAGGAUGACCAGCCACACUGGAACUGAGACACGGUCCAGACUCCUACGGGAGGCAGCAGUGGGGAAUAUUGCACAAUGGGCGCAAGCCUGAUGCAGCCAUGCCGCGUGUAUGAAGAAGGCCUUCGGGUUGUAAAGUACUUUCAGCGGGGAGGAAGGCGAUGUGGUUAAUAACCGCGUCGAUUGACGUUACCCGCAGAAGAAGCACCGGCUAACUCCGUGCCAGCCGCCGCUGUAACAC